CUAUUUGGUGAUUUAUUGUUCCAUUUUUCGUUUUUGUCUUGGAUUUCUUCUGGAGUUCGGAGGAAAAAUGGCCACUUGUGAAAAACAACUGGUGAGUGAAAAUGAAGGAAUAUGAAAACUUGAAGUUGACAUCUCUAAGAAGUAGUUAAAGCUGCAGGAAAUGACCAUACAUUGGGUUUUGUUACUGGUGGGUCUGCUCAUGUGCAAAUGCAACUUAGCACCAGAGAGUGUGAGAGUCUGGGAUUAACUGAUCUGGCUCUCUGCUUAGACUGCAACACCUUUGCUGAGUAUGUCAAGGACCAAGGUUGUAUCUUUAUUAUAUGAAUUUUGUUGAUCCUCAGAUAUUUAUGGUUUUUGGUGGAUUUUACUUCUGGGUUUUGAUGGGUUUUUUGAAUUGAUUACUUGUUGGUAAGUACAUGGGUUGUAAAAUGGUAAUAUUUGGGAUUCUUGUUUCUGUACUAUAGCUGAUUGGUUGUCAAAAUUAACGAAUAGUGGGAGAUAGAUGCAAUUCUUAUUGCUUUUAGUUGAUUUAAGGUCUGGGUUUUUUUUUGUUUGGAUUUAUGAAUUGCUUAUUUAUAUGUGAGAUGUCAAUGGUGAUAAUUUGGAAGGAGAACUUGAAAAAGGCUAUGUUUUUAUACAAAUCAGAUCGAGAGACUAUGCUUAUAACAGUAAAUAAGUGUAUUUUGACUUUUGUUGUUUUCACUAUAAUUUUUUGUGAUUAAGUUUUGUCAAAAUAUGGAUGGGUAAAUAGUAUUUUGGAAGAUUUCUCUUUUUUCUUUUUGUGCCUCAGAUAGCUUAAGGAUAAUCGCAUAAAUCGAAAUAAGAUCCUCAUUGGGAUUCUUAAAUUAUCUCAUGCAAUUAGUGGCGUUAAAUUGUAAUCUGUAGAAUUCCAAGUAACUAGCCUGGAUUAUGGUAAUGGUUCAGUUUUGUUGCUCUUGAGGAUUAUGGUAAUUGCACCUGAGCUGACGAUGAUCAAGACA